CUGCCCCAUAGCAGGUUAGGGGGCUGCCCCAUAGCAUGGUUAAGGGGCUGCCCCAUAGAGGUGCAUAGAUGGAAUCGGGGGGGCUGCCCCAUAGCAGGGAAUGGGGCUGCCCCAUAGAGGAGGUGCAUAGCUGGAGUGGGUGGGGGGCUGCCCCAUAGCGGAGUUAGGGGGCUGCCCUAU